rnacentral:rRNA from 1 species
AUGAACGCUGGCGGCGUGCCUAAUACAUGCAAGUCGAGCGAACAGACGAGGAGCUUGCUCCUCUGACGUUAGCGGCGGACGGGUGAGUAACACGUGGAUAACCUACCUAUAAGACUGGGAUAACUUCGGGAAACCGGAGCUAAUACCGGAUAAUAUAUUGAACCGCAUGGUUCAAUAGUGAAAGACGGUUUUGCUGUCACUUAUAGAUGGAUCCGCGCCGCAUUAGCUAGUUGGUAAGGUAACGGCUUACCAAGGCGACGAUGCGUAGCCGACCUGAGAGGGUGAUCGGCCACACUGGAACUGAGACACGGUCCAGACUCCUACGGGAGGCAGCAGUAGGGAAUCUUCCGCAAUGGGCGAAAGCCUGACGGAGCAACGCCGCGUGAGUGAUGAAGGUCUUCGGAUCGUAAAACUCUGUUAUUAGGGAAGAACAAAUGUGUAAGUAACUAUGCACGUCUUGACGGUAUCUAAUCAGAAAGCCACGGCUAACUACGUG